CUAACACAUGCAAGUCGAACGGCAGCACAGAGGAGCUUGCUCCUUGGGUGACGAGUGGCGGACGGGUGAGUAAUGUCUGGGAAACUGCCCGAUGGAGGGGGAUAACUACUGGAAACGGUAGCUAAUACCGCAUAACGUCGCAAGACCAAAGAGGGGGACCUUCGGGCCUCUUGCCACCGGAUGUGCCCAGAUGGGAUUAGCUAGUAGGUGGGGUAACGGCUCACCUAGGCGACGAUCCCUAGCUGGUCUGAGAGGAUGACCAGCCACACUGGAACUGAGACACGGUCCAGACUCCUACGGGAGGCAGCAGUGGGGAAUAUUGCACAAUGGGCGCAAGCCUGAUGCAGCCAUGCCGCGUGUAUGAAGAAGGCCUUCGGGUUGUAAAGUACUUUCAGCGAGGAGGAAGGCGUUGUGGUUAAUAACCGCAACGAUUGACGUUACUCGCAGAAGAAGCACCGGCUAACUCCGUGCCAGCCGCCGCGGUAAAAGGG
rnacentral:rRNA from 1 species